CGCUGGUUGCUUUCCCUAGGACCCUAUGUCCUAAUAAAAAUUGGUGGGGUCCACCCUAAAAACCCUAGGGUAAGUGUCUUACAAUUUUGGGCCUCCAAUAAUUUUUUAACAAUGGCCCAAUGUGCAAAAGUUGAUCUAAAAAGUUUAAACAAUUAAAAUUACAAUACAACUAAAAUUUAAAAUGUCUAAUCAGAGAGUCUUUAAUUUAUUUUGUCUCCUCC
rnacentral:lncRNA from 1 species